rnacentral:lncRNA from 1 species
CCACCGCGCCCGGCAUUUUGUUCACUGACGUGCAUUUUGUUCACUGCUGUGCCCAUUUUCUCACAGUGCCUAGCCCAAAUAUUUCAUGACUGUUUACUAAAGGUGUAUUUCUGAUUCUAUGUAAGUGAACAGAGAUGUGAUGAGAGGAUAAAGGGGAAAUGCACCCCCUCAAAAAGCUUAUUACUUCACAAGGUAUCCCAUGUUGAGAUAAACGCAGAGUAAACCUCAUGCCUAAAUAUGUCCUGUUUCCUCAAAGAGGCCUGCCUAGUACCAGGGUGCCUUGUGAAAGGUUCAGAUAAGCAAUUUAAUGCAAAUCAUAAAAUGCAAACCCACUUCUUUCUGGGAUGGUAAUGUUGUAGCACCCUAAAAGAGAGAGCGUUUGAAUUAUUUUGGAGAAUAUUCUGCUUCAAGGACCUAGAGUCAUAACUCACACAAAAAAGUCAAGAUUUAAAUAUAAAACAGGGGCUCAAGAGUGAGCCAUGUUGAGAUUGUAUAUCAGUUUUCUCUUGCCCUGAUUUGAAAAUCUUUCACUGUUUAAAUCUGUUGAUUUCUAAAUUGUAACUAUAAUGCCGGGACAGGAGAUGGGACCCCUAGUUUUUAUUUAGCACUUGACUGAAAUGUAACAUGACUUCAAGAUUCUUUUAUAUUAAAAAAAAAGUCAGCUAUUGUUCAUCUCCAGUGAAAUGAAUAAAACUUAGAUGACAGGGACUUAAAGGUAGACAAAAAGAUGUAGGACAGAGCCAAGGAAUUUAAACAAUUUUCAGAGUUCAGGGAAAAUGAUAAAAUCUCUUAAUCUAGAGAUAUUUAAGAAGAAGGCAGGGAUCUUUUCUCUAAAAUUGGGGGAGCAAAGGGUACUUCUUCGUGAACAACGGUAUCCAUCUAGUCUUUUUUGUACUACAAUAAGAAUAGCAAGACCGUGCUUCAGGAAAGCUGUCCAGUGUAAACAGGCCCCGCCUUGGAGUUCAUUGAGGACAGGUCUCUUUCUACAGAGGAGACCCAAGUGAAACUCUCUUGCUCUGGUGUUCUAGAAACUCAGUGGUGAAGGCUGAUCUGUGAUUCUUCCCCAGAUUCCUCGAAUUCAUGGGGGUUAAGGCCUAAGAUUUAACAUGCUCUUAACCUUGUUAACAAAGGUGCCUUCGUAUUGAGGAGACAUUAAAACUUAGCCACAUAAAUAUAUCUUGUCUCCUCCAGUGUUAAAAAAACAAAAAACAAAACUACUAUAAGCUGGGUGGAAUCAUGGUAAACAAAGCAUUUUCCAUUGCUUCAAGCACAGCAAAUAGAAUCUCUACCGAUAGUGCUUCUCCUUAGUUUCACCAGGGACAUUAGAUUCAUAGUGGUUCAUUUCAAAACCAUGCUUCCUCUUUCAGAGACUGUUUUGUCACCUGCAGGCUGAAGCGUUCUCCUUAGCUGAAGAUGCAAGCUUGCCCUACAGAAUGUUUGAACCUUCUGGUGGGUGCCUGGAGUUACGAAGAGAGGAGCUGCCAUUUUCUUUGCCCCGAGGAGCUGGCUCGGUGACCUCCUUCAGUCAUGGAAAGUCCCUUCCCCAGAUAGAGUCCAGCAUUCCACUGGCUUCUCCUGCUGCUAAAAUAAAACCGGGCGAAUCCCUCAGUAAACCGUGGAGCAUAAAGAGGUGGGGCUGCUUCUCCAGCAUUUGUCAGGGGUGUGAAGAGGUCAUUUUUUAUGUGCACAGCUUUGCUUCUCUGGCUGCUACACCUCUGUCCUGCUCCAGCUGAACUGCUCUUAUUACUUCUGUGCUUACUUUGCCAAGAGCCUCUUCACAGUGACUGCUUUUCUCCGGUUACGCUCCUGUUGAACCCGGCUUUCUCAGUCACUCUUCCUUUCCCUUUUAAAGAGUGAAGUCCAUGAACCCAGGCAAGAGUUAGCAUAGACACUGUCCUACAGAAAUGGCUCGUUAAGCUCUUUAAGCUCUCUGUGCUCCCCUCUGCCCCAGCCCUUGUGUAAAUCCUACAGAUGCAGCUGAAUGACUUUAUGUCCUCCAACCGUGAGACUGGCGCUGUGGAAAGAAUUAGCAACAUGUACAUUUAGAACUGAUAUUUGUAAAAACAAGCUUGGUCUGGAUUUUCGGUACUGUUGCAGGAACAAAACUGACCACAGUGUGUGCGUUUGUAGCACAAGACAGACGUGAUCAGAAAACAGUGAAGGCUUCAGCAGCACAGUCCACCCUUUCCUCCAGGGCCCUUUCCCCAUUUCCGCUCACAUCUUCCCAAACAAGCUACCAAACAGGUUAUGCAUCUGAAAAUUUAUUCGCUUCAGCCACAGGGCGACUUGAAUGGACUUUGUUGUUCACAUUUCCUCCCUUGGUCUUCUGUGGAUUAGAAACCAUAGUGCG